rnacentral:sRNA from 1 species
UUGGCUCAGUAAUACCCAUGGAUAGGCUGUCCAUGGUGAGGGAGAGUCUGAGUGAAGGAGGGGAGGAGAGAAGACAUUGAUUUCAAGCUACUUACCUCCUACCCAACUGCAGAACCCUCACACAGAACAAUGGGCUGGUCAUUUGGUACUGAACAACUAAUUGGUGUGCUCUUCCCUGGGAAAGGUCCCCAGGAGAAGACUUUGAUAACAAGUACAUUGGAGCCACGAGACACUGCCAACAGUGACACAGUGCAGAACGGUGACACUGGUCUGUAAGCAUCUUAACCAUGGCCUUCCUUGCACCGGGACAGAUUCAUGCCACGGAAUCAGUGUGGUGCUCAAUGCAGAAGAUUGAAGCCAUUGUUGAAAACAAUGCGUUUCCGCAUCUACCCAUCCCACAAGGAACCAAAUCAAGGCACAGAACAUACAGAAAUGUUUCUCAUGUCCAGUAGAGACACUGUGGCUGGUCUUCCUAAUUUCCAACUCGCUCUAUGUCCCCAGUCUUCAGAACAACCCCACCUGGAGUGAUGCCGUACGCUUUUAUCUCCACACUGAAGAUGGUGAAAUGGUGGCUGCGAGCUUUGGCGAUGGCCCGCCUGUGGAAGGACGUGUCUCAAGGGCCCAAGCCAAUGGUGAUCAAAUGUAGUCUGCUAUGGAUUCCAGGAAAUGACUGACCGAAAGACCACAGUACUGCAGAAGCCCUGUAAUGAGAGGGCAACGGACUCAUAAAUGGGCGAAGGAAGGGAUUGGCUCGUGAACUGUCCCUCUCCGUGAGUCCAUGGUUCCGCGGGUCCACGGCUUCUUUCAGGUGGACUUUCAUACUCGUAUCUCCAGAUUCCACGGGACAUCUGUGCUUCAUUAGCUAUGUGUCAUUAGGUUUAUAAUGUGAUUUAAACAAACCUCCCUAAGCUGCAAAAAGGGAGGCUCCUGAGAGUCCCAAGUUCCCCAUCUGGCCUUGCAGGAUGCUCACAAAAUGGCUACAUGAAGCCACGAAUAUCAUGGGGCCCGGAAGACGGAUCUCAAGCCAGGAUGA